UACGAAGGGGGCUAGCGUUGCUCGGAAUCACUGGGCGUAAAGCGCACGUAGGCGGCUUUCUAAGUCAGGGGUGAAAUCCUGGAGCUCAACUCCAGAACUGCCUUUGAUACUGGAGGGCUUGAGUCCGGAAGAGGUGAGUGGAACUCCGAGUGUAGAGGUGAAAUUCGUAGAUAUUCGCAAGAACACCAGUGGCGAAGGCGGCUCACUGGCCCGGUACUGACGCUGAGGUGCGAAAGCGUGGGGAGCAAACAGG
rnacentral:rRNA from 1 species